rnacentral:rRNA from 1 species
AGCGUACACGGUGGAUGCCCUGGCAGUCAGAGGCGAUGAAGGACGUGCUAAUCUGCGAUAAGCGUCGGUGAGGUGAUAUGAACCGUUAUAACCGGCGAUUUCCGAAUGGGGAAACCCAGUGUGUUUCGACACACUAUCAUUAACUGAAUCCAUAGGUUAAUGAGGCGAACCGGGGGAACUGAAACAUCUAAGUACCCCGAGGAAAAGAAAUCAACCGAGAUUCCCCCAGUAGCGGCGAGCGAACGGGGAGCAGCCCAGAGUCUGAAUCAGUGUGUGUGUUAGUGGAAGCGUCUGGAAAGGCGCGCGAUACAGGGUGACAGCCCCGUACACAAAAAUGCACAUGCUGUGAGCUCGAUGAGUAGGGCGGGACACGUGGUAUCCUGUCUGAAUAUGGGGGGACCAUCCUCCAAGGCUAAAUACUCCUGACUGACCGAUAGUGAACCAGUACCGUGAGGGAAAGGCGAAAAGAACCCCGGCGAGGGGAGUGAAAAAGAACCUGAAACCGUGUACGUACAAGCAGUGGGAGCCUCUUUUAUGGGGUGACUGCGUACCUUUUGUAUAAUGGGUCAGCGACUUAUAUUCUGUAGCAAGGUUAACCGAAUAGGGGAGCCGAAGGGAAACCGAGUCUUAACUGGGCGUUAAGUUGCAGGGUAUAGACCCGAAACCCGGUGAUCUAGCCAUGGGCAGGUUGAAGGUUGGGUAACACUAACUGGAGGACCGAACCGACUAAUGUUGAAAAAUUAGCGGAUGACUUGUGGCUGGGGGUGAAAGGCCAAUCAAACCGGGAGAUAGCUGGUUCUCCCCGAAAGCUAUUUAGGUAGCGCCUCGUGAAUUCAUCUCCGGGGGUAGAGCACUGUUUCGGCAAGGGGGUCAUCCCGACUUACCAACCCGAUGCAAACUGCGAAUACCGGAGAAUGUUAUCACGGGAGACACACGGCGGGUGCUAACGUCCGUCGUGAAGAGGGAAACAACCCAGACCGCCAGCUAAGGUCCCAAAGUCAUGGUUAAGUGGGAAACGAUGUGGGAAGGCCCAGACAGCCAGGAUGUUGGCUUAGAAGCAGCCAUCAUUUAAAGAAAGCGUAAUAGCUCACUGGUCGAGUCGGCCUGCGCGGAAGAUGUAACGGGGCUAAACCAUGCACCGAAGCUGCGGCAGCGACGCUUAUGCGUUGUUGGGUAGGGGAGCGUUCUGUAAGCCUGUGAAGGUGUGCUGUGAGGCAUGCUGGAGGUAUCAGAAGUGCGAAUGCUGACAUAAGUAACGAUAAAGCGGGUGAAAAGCCCGCUCGCCGGAAGACCAAGGGUUCCUGUCCAACGUUAAUCGGGGCAGGGUGAGUCGACCCCUAAGGCGAGGCCGAAAGGCGUAGUCGAUGGGAAACAGGUUAAUAUUCCUGUACUUGGUGUUACUGCGAAGGGGGGACGGAGAAGGCUAUGUUGGCCGGGCGACGGUUGUCCCGGUUUAAGCGUGUAGGCUGGUUUUCCAGGCAAAUCCGGAAAAUCAAGGCUGAGGCGUGAUGACGAGGCACUACGGUGCUGAAGCAACAAAUGCCCUGCUUCCAGGAAAAGCCUCUAAGCAUCAGGUAACAUCAAAUCGUACCCCAAACCGACACAGGUGGUCAGGUAGAGAAUACCAAGGCGCUUGAGAGAACUCGGGUGAAGGAACUAGGCAAAAUGGUGCCGUAACUUCGGGAGAAGGCACGCUGAUAUGUAGGUGAAGCGACUUGCUCGUGGAGCUGAAAUCAGUCGAAGAUACCAGCUGGCUGCAACUGUUUAUUAAAAACACAGCACUGUGCAAACACGAAAGUGGACGUAUACGGUGUGACGCCUGCCCGGUGCCGGAAGGUUAAUUGAUGGGGUUAGCGGCAACGCGAAGCUCUUGAUCGAAGCCCCGGUAAACGGCGGCCGUAACUAUAACGGUCCUAAGGUAGCGAAAUUCCUUGUCGGGUAAGUUCCGACCUGCACGAAUGGCGUAAUGAUGGCCAGGCUGUCUCCACCCGAGACUCAGUGAAAUUGAACUCGCUGUGAAGAUGCAGUGUACCCGCGGCAAGACGGAAAGACCCCGUGAACCUUUACUAUAGCUUGACACUGAACAUUGAGCCUUGAUGUGUAGGAUAGGUGGGAGGCUUUGAAGUGUGGACGCCAGUCUGCAUGGAGCCGACCUUGAAAUACCACCCUUUAAUGUUUGAUGUUCUAACGUUGACCCGUAAUCCGGGUUGCGGACAGUGUCUGGUGGGUAGUUUGACUGGGGCGGUCUCCUCCUAAAGAGUAACGGAGGAGCACGAAGGUUGGCUAAUCCUGGUCGGACAUCAGGAGGUUAGUGCAAUGGCAUAAGCCAGCUUGACUGCGAGCGUGACGGCGCGAGCAGGUGCGAAAGCAGGUCAUAGUGAUCCGGUGGUUCUGAAUGGAAGGGCCAUCGCUCAACGGAUAAAAGGUACUCCGGGGAUAACAGGCUGAUACCGCCCAAGAGUUCAUAUCGACGGCGGUGUUUGGCACCUCGAUGUCGGCUCAUC